AGUUAAAUUUGAAUUUCAGAUACACAAUAAAUAAUUUUUUUAGUGGAAGUAUAUCUUGUAAAAUUUGGGACAUACUUACACUAAAAUUAUUUAGUAUAUAUCUAAAAUUCAAAUUUAACU
rnacentral:miRNA from 10 species